rnacentral:rRNA from 1 species
AGAUUGAACGCUGGCGGCAUGCCUUACACAUGCAAGUCGAACGCGAAAGGGGGGGCAACCCCCCAAGUAGAGUGGCGAACGGGUGAGUAAUACAUCGGAACGUGUCCAGUAGCGGGGGAUAACCUCCCGAAAGAGAGGCUAAUACCGCAUACGACCUACGGGUGAAAGAGGGGGAUCGCAAGACCUCUCACUAUUGGAGCGGCCGAUGUCGGAUUAGCUAGUUGGCGGGUAAAAGCCCACCAAGGCGACGAUCCGUAGCUGGUCUGAGAGGACGACCAGCCACACUGGAACUGAGACACGGUCCAGACUCCUACGGGAGCAGCAGUGGGGAAUUUGGACAAUGGACGAAAGUCUGAUCCAGCGACGCCGCGUGCACGAUGAAGGUCUUCGGAUCGUAAAGUGCUUUGCAGGGGACGAAUUUUGACUGUACCCUGAGAAUAAGA